AUUGAACGCUGGCGGCAUGCCUUACACAUGCAAGUCGAACGGUAACGGGCCUUCGGGUGCCGACGAGUGGCGAACGGGUGAGUAAUACAUCGGAACGUGCCCGAUCGUGGGGGAUAACGAGGCGAAAGCUUUGCUAAUACCGCAUACGAUCUACGGAUGAAAGCAGGGGACCGCAAGGCCUUGCGCGGACGGAGCGGCCGAUGGCAGAUUAGGUAGUUGGUGGGAUAAAAGCUUACCAAGCCGACGAUCUGUAGCUGGUCUGAGAGGAUGAUCAGCCACACUGGGACUGAGACACGGCCCAGACUCCUACGGGAGGCAGCAGUGGGGAAUUUUGGACAAAGGGCGCAAGCCUGAUCCAGCCAUGCCGCGUGCAGGAUGAAGGCCUUCGGGUUGUAAACUGCUUUUGUACGGAACGAAAAGCCUUCUUUUAAUACAGGAGGGUCAUGACGGUACCGUAAGAAUAAGUACCGGCUAACUACGUG
rnacentral:rRNA from 1 species